rnacentral:rRNA from 1 species
AUUGACCGCUGGCGGCAGGCCUAACACAUGCAAGUCGAACGAGUGGCGGACGGGUGAGUAAUGUCUGGGAAACUGCCUGAGGGAGGGGGAUAACUACUGGAAACGGUAGCUAAUACCGCAUAACAUCCGAUGUGCCCAGAUGGGAUUAGCGUGUUGGUGGGGUAACGGCUCACCAAGGCGAAGAUCCCUAGCUAGUCUGAGAGGAUGACCAGCCAAACUGGAACUGAGCCACGGUCCAGACUCCUACGGGAGGUAGCAGUGGGGAAUAUUGCAUAAUGGGCGCAAGCCUGAUGCAGCCAUGCCGCGUGUAUGAAGAAGGCCUUCGGGUUGUAAAGUACUUUCAGCGGGGAGGCGUUACCCGCAGCAGAAGCACCGGCUAACUCCGUGCCAGCAGCCGCGGUAAUUC